ACUCCUACGGGAGGCAGCAGUGGGGAAUAUUGCACAAUGGGCGCAAGCCUGAUGCAGCCAUGCCGCGUGUGUGAAGAAGGCCUUCGGGUUGUAAAGCACUUUCAGUCGUGAGGAAGGUAGUGUAGUUAAUAGCUGCAUUAUUUGUACGUUAGCGACAGAAGAAGCACCGGCUAACUCCGUGCCAGCAGCCGCGGUAAUACGGAGGGUGCGAGCGUUAAUCGGAAUUACUGGGCGUAAAGCGCAUGCAGGUGGUUUGUUAAGUCAGAUGUGAAAGCCCGGGGCUCAACCUCGGAAUAGCAUUUGAAACUGGCAGACUAGAGUACUGUAGAGGGGGUAGAAUUUCAGGUGUAGCGGUGAAAUGCGUAGAGAUCUGAAGGAAUACCGGUGGCGAAGGCGGCCCCCUGGACAGAUACUGACACUCAGAUGCGAAAGCGUGGGAGC
rnacentral:rRNA from 1 species